UUGCCCAAUGGACGCAAGUCUGAGGCAGCAACGCCGCGUGCGCGAUGAAGGCCUUCGGGUCGUAAAGCGCUUUUCGGGAGGAUGAGGAAGGACAGUACUCCCGGAAUAAGGUACGGCUAACUACGUGCCAGCAGCCGCGGUAAAACUAGGUACCCGAGCGUUAUCCGGGAUUUACUGGGCGUAAAGCGCGUUCAGGCGGCUCAGCAAGUCGGGCAUGAAAUCUCUCGGCUCAACCGGGAGGGGCUGUCCGAAACUGCUGGGCUUGAGGGCAGUAGAGGGUGGUGGAAUUCCGGGUGUAGUGGUGAAAUGCGUAGAUAUCCGGAGGAACACCAGUGGCGAAAGCGGCCACCUGGACUGUACCUGACGCUCAAACGCGAAAGCUAGGGGAGCGAACGGGAUUAGAAACCCCGGUAGUCCUAGCCAUAAACGAUGUUGACUAGGUGUCAGCGGUCUAAACCCCGUUGGUGCCGGAGCAAACGCACUAAGUCAACCGCCUGGGGACUACGGCCGCAAGGUUA
rnacentral:rRNA from 1 species